ensembl:lncRNA
AGCUUGGGUUGCUUGCAGCCAAGAAGGCUUGCCAGAUAAAAGCGCCUCCUUGUCAGGCUGCUGUGAAGCUUCACUGCAAUUGCACUUGGAGAGUUGUACACUGAAUGCCUAGCUCAGGACACGGCAGCUCUUGAGACGAUUACAGACUCAGAUGGCCCCCAUGAAGGGAUGAACUGAGUUAAACACAAGGUGUGGAGUCAGCAGGAAGGAUGCACAGAAUCCUGGUUGCUCAACUGGCCACUCUGCCCUCGGCACUCAGAUUCUGGCUACUUGGGAUGUCCUGUUUGCCAUCUCCACCAAGAAUUGGCAACACCAGGUGAACACAAUGGAAGGAAGGCAUAGACACAUCCAACAGCCACACCAAACCAACUAGCAUGUUGAGUGAUGAUUUGGGCAACAAAUGUUCCUUCUUAACCGUGGCUCAUCAGCCCUAACGUGAAAAUCACUUCACAGUCUGGGGAUGCACAGACAAUGGGCCCCAGGAGGAAAACAGAUGAAGGUGAAGGGCUCAAGGGCAGAGGUCCAAGACCAGCUCUGGAGGUCAAACAUUUAUCCCAGGGACGUGCCUGUAACUGCUCCUCCUGGCCUCUUUACCAUCAAGCACGCUUUACGUGGUCAAACCUGCUUUUUACCUGACGGGUCUGAAUCAGGCAUGUGGCCGUACAUUAUCCCUUAGUACAUUCCACACACCAAGCAGUCCAAUGUGUCAAUGAUGGAAAAAUGAAUCACAGCCACAUCACUUCGAUGAGGAAAAAAAAAAUCAGAAGAAGCAUGCAUCUUUCUGAAAGGCCAUUGUGCAGGAGCAGAGCUAAUCAAUGAGAUGUGUUGACAGAGGUGCCUGUAGCACAGCCAUCUCUCAGGCCCGACACGGAUGGCACCAUCACGAGCACUGAAAGGCUACCAGAGACAGGAGGGAGGCUCAUCCCCUGGCAGGCCUGUCUGAUAAACGUCCCCCAUAAGCUCACAGCGAAGAAACCAUUUCCAGGAGGCAUCACGCCACCAGCCUGUCACCUGGCCUCCUACAUCCCAGCGGACAUUUCCUUGUGUUGUUUAACAGCUUUACCCUGGCUUGCCAGUACUGAGCAGGCUGUCUCCAAGACCCCUUCGCCUAUAUUAUUCCCGUGGGUCAUGUUGAGAGAGCAGAUCUCCCGAGGAAUGCUGAUGGAGGGUUGGUGGCAGCUCCCGGCUCCCUGGGAGGUGUGGCAGAGACC